UUUUCCUAGUCUUUGUUUUUACUUUCCUUUUCGGAUUGUAGAUUCAAUUAGAGGGAGGGAUUUUAUUCUUGGUGGUUAUUGUUUUGGUAUUGCGUACAUUGAUUGGGUUUCAAGAGUAGAUUCAAUCCUCCCUAUGCCCUCCUGCGUUAGACUAACUAUCCGUUUGUGGAUGGUAUGUAGUAUUGAAGUAAAGACUAGAGCCAAGAUGAUGUGAGCAUGGACAUGGACCAUAAAGAGAAGGCCCAAUCCAAAGAAAGAUGAGGGAAUAGGCUAAAAAGGAGAUCGUAUGGCCGGCCCUAAAUUUUCAUUUGUCUCCUCAUUAAUUUGAUUACAAUCUCUUUUAAUUAAAAUGGAAGACUAAAUUUGUGACAUCCCAAGUGUUACUUAAGGCAAAUGGGUGUCAGAUACAGAUACACAGUAAUGAGUACAUGAUAAAAUUUAAUUAGCGGAACAAUUAAUACAAAUCUCUUACAAAUAUAUAUAUGAGUUCCAAAUUACAUACAUAUAACUAAAGUCUGAAGUAGCUAUAAAAUAUAAAAGACAAAACACAAAAGAAAGCCAUUUCUUUCACUAGGCUGUUGGACUCAUCAGAGUGCGGAAACAAUUAUGUACUCAAAUUUUAUGGAUCCAUUGGAUCCUCAUAGACUUCCAAGGGUAGGUCCACCUACGGUUCCUCAUUUUCUUCUUCAUCUGGGCGAGGAGUAUAGAAAGAGUGAGUUCCACAUGUUAAGUAAGGAAAAUAAUAUUAAAUUAACAUCAUAAAUUUUUAAAGGUGAAUUAUUUUAACUUAAAAGCUUACCAUUUGGCCAUCUCAUAGACCUAUCUUAUAUUAUGAAAAUAAUUUAUUUAUUAAGAAAACUGUACAUUAAUAUGGACAAUCAAACAUACAUCAUGCCAGAUAAUAGAGAAAAUCAAAUAAAUCAUGAAAUGCUCAUAUUUUUGUGUCAUACUUUGUGAAGUCGUUACAGCUUCCAUCUUUGAAGGCAGAUACAGAUU
rnacentral:lncRNA from 1 species